UUCUGUUGAUUUUUCCUAAAUUAAAGAUUCUACCCUUAUUGAGCUCCAAUUCUUUUAAUUGGUAACCAAACCAAUCAAUUCAGCCUAUCACAAGAGUAAGAACUCUUCUCUUGCUCCAUAUGCAACUCGGCCAAUUAGCUCUAUGAAUUGACAAAUCUCUUUAAUUAUGUUUGUUAGGGUUUUUUGAUUUAAUAUAGCAAAGGACAGACUUUGGUUUGUGAAAUUCUCGAAGAGAGACGGGUCUGGCAGAGGAGCCCUGUGAGUUUCGUUCUAACCGCUGAGCUAUGAGGAUCCGGCGCGCGGCGAAGUCUUCAUAUGGAGCAUGUUUUGGACCUCUUUCUUGCACAAUGUUCGGAGAUCACUCCAGAGUUAGUCGCAGUGGAUCUUUCGAUCCUGUUUGAUGAUCUUAGUAUCACUUUCCCCUCACUUUUGUAGUACUUUUAGAGGGGUAGGACAUCUUAGUAGUUCGGUUCCAGCUUAGGAAACCCGUGUGAGGGUUGGGACUGAUUUCUUCUUUUGUAUCUGUACAUAUAACUUGGUGUGAUACUCGGCUUUGAUGGA